rnacentral:rRNA from 1 species
UACGAGGGGAGCAAGCGUUGUUCGGAUUUACUGGGCGUAAGGGCGCGUAGGCGGUCGUGACAAGUCACUUGUGAAAUCUCCGGGCUUAACUCGGAACGGUCAAGUGAUACUGUCGGACUAGAGUACAGAAGGGGCAACUGGAAUUCUCGGUGUAGCGGUGAAAUGCGUAGAUAUCGAGAGGAACACCUGCGGCGAAGGCGGGUUGCUGGGCUGAUACUGACGCUGGAGACGCGAAAGCGUGGGGAGCGAACAGG